CCAACUUCAAUUUCAUGUGCUUUUUUGUAACUUUACAAAGUUGAACUGAAGUUUGUGACUUUGUUCUGCAGCUUGAUGUGAUAUUGCAACUCAGAUACAAGUGAAGGAAGAUGGAUCUAAGAGGAGCUUACUUUAUAUAGAGAUAGCUGAUAGACCUGGAUUACUGGUAGAAAUCAUCAAAAUUAUUGCUCAUCUCAUCAUUGAUGUGGAAUCAACAGAGAGUGUUGCAGAACAAAGACGUGCAUAGAAAAACAUCAAUUCAUGAAGUGGAUGUGAGAAUCAUUGGGGGAUUUCUACAAUAUUCUCGGAUAUGUCAGCCUCACUUGUACACAAAACAAUGGAAACUAUACAGAGCACUGUCAUGAUGAGGAAGAUCGGGUUUCUUCCACUUGCUUGAAAGCAUUUUAAUUCCAAAAGACAGUGAGAAUGCUUGCUUGUCUUCAAGUGAAAUCUGUUGCUGUGCUCCAAGGGUAUUGACUGGAAUUGAAGAUCAUGUUAGCCAACCACUCUGUUUAUGUGUCUCUUGUUAGUGCAAUGCUUCAAUUUUGUUAGUGCAGUGCUUUUGUUAGUGCUGCCUUUGCAUAUAUGCUUUGCAAUUUAUAUUCAUGGUUCUGUUAUAUCUAAAUGGGCUUUUAUAAAAUCUAGUGUUGAAAAUUGUGUAUGUAGUGCUUGAAAAUUCAGCCUGUUGGGCCAGGUUGCUUAGUUUCUUUCUGUGGUGGACUAUGGAUAGCAGAGUAAUAUUGCAGUAUUUGCAAAUUUUAAAAUGAUAAAAGGUAAUAUACUAAUAUUGUAGAGUGCUAUAUAUGGCUGCCAUUCUUCUUGUCUUUUCUUUCUAAUCUCUAUAAUCUAAAGUUAGUGAUUAUUUCUACCGUGGUUUUAUUUGGAAAAGUGAAUUCCUACCUUCUCCUUUAAUCAAUUUUCUCCCUAAAUCUUGGUUCUUUGGCAGAAGAAAGAUGUAACUGAUGCAAUUCAGAAGGUUGCUGCUGCUUAUGACUGCAAAAAUGUUGAAUGUGUUUUCUCCAUCAGCUGAAGCAGUUUGACAAGAACUACCACUCGAAGAUGAAAGCAUCUAGGUUUAUUUUCAGUGAAAUAAAUCAGAAAUUUCCUCCCAUGCCAUUCAUAGCUAGUUUUGCUAAUGCCAGAUGGUUCGAAUGGAGUCGCAUCUCAUCCUCUGCAGGAGCUGCAGCCCACAAAGACAACAGAUGAUCCCGAAAUCAAGGCCUUGUUAGCCUUGGGAAAAAGAAAAAGAAGAAAAGUAAAAAUGGUGACAAAGGUGAGGAGUCAACAGAAGCCUAGCCUAUGGAUGCAACAACAAAUGGUGCUGCUUCCCAUCCCAAGAUUGGGAUUAUUUGUGUGUUCCAGGCUGGGUCGUGCGUCAUAGUGGCCUGUCUGAUGGAAGAGGAUUGUUAAGGAUAUAAAUCUUUUAUUUAAAAUUAUUCAAAUCAUAUUUAAAGGUCAAUAAGUAAAGACUUGUACUCAAUUCAAAUA